AGCGAACGCUGGCGGCGUGCCUAACACAUGCAAGUCGAACGUGAAAAGGGAAACCUGAGUAAAGUGGCGUACGGGUGAGUAACGCGUAGGUAAUCUACCCCAGAAUCUGGAAUAACCUGCCGAAAGGCGGGCUAAUACUGGAUAGAGCGAGGGAACUCGUAAGAGAGUUUUUCGGGAAAGGGAGCCCGCAAGGGCCUUCGUUCUGGGAUGAGCCUGCGUCUCAUUAGCUAGUUGGUAAGGUAACGGCUUACCAAGGCGAUGAUGAGUAGCUGGUCUGAGAGGAUGAUCAGCCACACUGGAACUGAAACACGGUCCAGACUCCUACGGGAGGCAGCAGUGGGGAAUCUUGCGCAAUGGACGAAAGUCUGACGCAGCCACGCCGCGUGAGUGAAGAAGGCCUUCGGGUUGUAAAGCUCUGUCGGAUGGGACGAACAUCUUCAUAGUAAAUAGCUAUGAGGACUGACGGUACCAUCAAAGGAAGCACCGGCUAACUCCGUG
rnacentral:rRNA from 1 species